GGUCUAAAUUGUAGUUUUGAUUAGGAGAGAAAGGAGAUGGGGCACUGACUCCAGCCUGGUUUAUAAGCUAUAGGGAAGUAAUUUUGUUCAUAAUUGAACCACUGACAAGAGGAAGAACUAAUCUGUCUUUAUAGAGGGGUAGUGCUUUUACAUUCUUUAUGUUUAAAUUUCAUUUUGACAUGCCUUUACCUAUGCUUGGUAGCCCACAGUGGGC